UCAUGAUAUUUUUUGGUUAAGAGUUUGGUAACAUAUGUUGGAGUAUUGUAUGUAUUCUAAGGGUUAGAUUUUGAAAGUUAACUUUUUUCUGAAAAAAUUAAAUUUUGACUUAUAUGUGUUUAGUUUUAUGUAUAUUAAACAUUUUUUAAGUUUAAUGAAGUGUUUGUUUCUAUUUAGUUAGUUAUUUGAGUUUAAGUUUUAUAUUUAGGGUCUAGACGACUUCCAGGAAGUCUUCUGGUGAAUAGUAUUUUAUCGGUAGAAGACUUCUCUUCUGGUGAAUAGUAUUUUAUCGGUAGAAGACUUCCCUGGAAGUC
rnacentral:lncRNA from 1 species